rnacentral:rRNA from 1 species
AUUGAACGCUGGCGGCAGGCCUAACACAUGCAAGUAGAACGAGUGGCGGACGGGUGAGUAAUGUCUGGGAAACUGCCUGAUGGAGGGGGAUAACUAAUGGAAACGGUAGCUAAUACCGCAUACCAUCGGAUGUGCACAGAUGGGAUUAGCUAGUAGGGGGGGAAACGGCUCACCUAGGCGACGAUCCCUAGCUGGUCUGAGAGGAUGACCAGCCACACUGGAACGUAGACACGGUCCAGACGCCUACGGGAGGCAGCAGUGGGGAAUAUUGCACAAUGGGCGCAAGCCUGAUGCAGCCAUGCCGCGUGGAUGAAGAAGGCCUUCGGGUUGUAAAGUACUUUCAGCGGGGAGGCGUUACCCGCAGAAGAAGCACCGGCUAACUCCGUGCCAGCAGCCGCGGUAAUUC